UAGGAGAGGAUGCUGGAUUCACUAGAACUGGGGUUACAAAUGAUUGAGAAAGAGCUACCACGUGGGUGCUCUGAACCAAACCCAGGUUCUCUACAAGUGCUCCUAACCUCUCAGGCGUCUCUCCUAAUAUCAACAUUUCUGAUGGAGGAGAUCUAAGAGAAUAUGGGCUUUGGUUGAUCUUCAUGGGCCAAACUACGGAAGAAAACUACCCAGACUUCCCACAGUACUUCGUAAUUUCAUCUUUUCCUGAACUCUCCGAGCAUUUCCUUCUAAAGAGUGAAUGUCUUCUUUAAAAUCCUACCAUGAAAUUCUUAUCCCUCCAAGGAGAUUGCUGUGUAAACUUUGUGUAAUAAGAAGCAAUUAAAAUGUCUGUGUAGAUUCA